UUAGUCAAUGCUCGCAAGAGUGAACUAGCUAACUGAAAUCACAUGAUCCAUUACGUAUGGUGAAUGUAAUAACGUAAGGGAAAAAAAUGAUAUUACCUUACUAUUAGUGUUGUCCAAAACUGGUGCCAGAAGACUCGGUAAGGCCAGAAACGCAAACGUUAGUCGUCUUAAUCAGGCGUAAAGGGUAUGUAGGCUGCUUUAAAAGUUAUAUAUUUAAUAGCUCUUUGUUAAAAAAAAACUAUGUACACUUAAUAUUUUUAAAUAUUAAAAUGUGGGUGUCAUCCUUUACUUAACGGUAAAGGAACAGUAAAAUAUAAAUGAAUUAAAGCUAGAAUCAAAUUGAGGAUAAUUAAAAUAAUACUUAGUGUAGGGUUUGAAUCUGGUGAUACUAGGGGGAAUACUAACGGUGAAAGCUUUUUAUCUAGAAAUGAUUGACGCUGAGAAACGAAGGUGAGAAUAGGAAAUAGGAUUAGAUACCCAGAUACCUCUCACAGUCAACGAUGAAUGGUGGUUGUUAGUUAGUUUAAUUUAACUGAUAACGAUGUUAACACGAUAACCAUUCCGCCUUGCGAGUACGGUUGCAAAACUGAAACCAAAAAAAUUAGUCGGUCUCGAA
rnacentral:rRNA from 1 species